UUAAAAUGCGAUUAUCGAUCAAUCGAUUGUUUUUUUUUCAAUUAAUGAAAAAUCGAUACAAUGAUGCGAUUUAUCAGGUAAAUUUUUUCUCUGUCAUUGAAUUGAUGAUGAUUGAUUGAUUGGCGAAAAAAUAAUUAUAACAAUAAUAGUUUAUAAAUGGUGUUUAAGCUAAUUGAAGCUGAAAUUUUAUGGUGUAAAAAAGUAUGAAAAAUGUCUCACAGAAAAUUGUGAAAAUCAUUUUGUUAUGUGUGUUUUUAAUCCAUAAAUUGUGUUGUUUAGUGUUAAAAAUAAAUACUGCAUUAUUUUGAAUUGUGACUUUAAUAAAACGUGUUCUUCAGUUUUUAUUUUAUGACAAAAAAGCCUAAUAUUGGCAACUCUAAUUGACAGGCAGAAGAAGAAUAGAGAGAUUAACCUCAGAGUUUUCUCCUCUCUAUUUAUUAUAAUUUAUUGAACUGGUAUCAGUGUUUUGAUUAAUUCUCCAGUCGUUUUAUCAUUCAUUAUUGUAAUUAUCUACUAAACAGUGCUUUUAUGCUCAGAAGGAGUUAGAAUUGAGGAUCAUAUUUGUUGUUCUACAUUCUUUGCUGUAAUUUCAAUUUCCCGGUGAAUAACAAAAAAUUAGGCAAAAGAGAAUUGAAAGGGUGGUGAUGUAAAAAAUUAUAUACACAUGGAAAAAUUUUAAUACCAAUGAGAAAAAAUGUGUUGUUAAUAAGAGAAUCAAUGAGAAAAUAUUUAUCGAAAUUGUGCUGUUAAUGAGAAAAUUAAUGUUUAAGUUUCGAUGCUA